GUUGCUGUUGUGCCUAGGAUUAUGAGAUGAUUUUAGGCCAUCUUUUGUUAGCCACAAUUUAUCCCAAACACUGUCCUUAACGAAAAAUUAUCCUUUGUUAUCCACUUUGAGCCUAUUUAGCUUUUAUUCUUUAGCCGGAUGAUAGGGGGUGAUGAAGUAUAUGGGGAUCUUUGUGUGGUGAAUAUUCAUAGUGGGUUGUGAAAAAAGAAGGGAUGAUUUUGUGUUACUAUUUACUCUUAUGAGCUCUAGAAAAGUUGUGGAAAGAAAGAGAAAAAAAAGUUGUUGAAAAAAAAAGAAGAAAAAAAAAGUGUAAAGUCGAGUGUUUAUUGAGAAAUUUGUUAGAAAAUCGACUUUGUUUGUUGGAAAUAAAUGGAGAGCAUAAAAGAGUGUUUAGUUUUGUAUGGUGAUGAUUAAAUCCCUUGAGUAGUGUUGAUUAUGGUGAUAUAGUUGGGUGGAAGAUGGAAUUUAUUCCAUACUUGAUUAGUGAAGUCAUAUGGUGUUCUUGAUUUAUUUGAGUCACUUAGCCUAUAUUUCCCUACCUUAACCAAUGUCCCUACAUUAU
rnacentral:lncRNA from 1 species